AGCAGUGGGGAAUCUUGGACAAUGGGGGCAACCCUGAUCCAGCCAUGCCGCGUGGGUGAUGAAGGCCUUAGGGUCGUAAAGCCCUUUCGCUGGGGAAGACAAUGACGGUACCCAGAGAAGAAGCCCCGGCUAACUCCGUGCCAGCAGCCGCGGUAAUACGGAGGGGGCUAGCGUUGUUCGGAAUGACUGGGCGUAAAGCGCGCGUAGGCGGAUCAUCAAGUCGGGGGUGAAAUCCCGGGGCUCAACCCCGGAACGGCCUUCGAGACUGGUGGUCUUGAGUUCGAGAGAGGUGGGUGGAAUUCCGAGUGUAGAGGUGAAAUUCGUAGAUAUUCGGAGGAACACCAGUGGCGAAGGCGGCCCACUGGCUCGACACUGACGCUGAGG
rnacentral:rRNA from 1 species